GACGAACCGUGCGAAUGUUAUUCGGAAUCACUGGGCUUAAAGCGCGUGUAGGCGGAUGGGAACGUCGGUCGCUGAAAGCCCCCGGCUCAACCGGGGAACGGGCGCCGAAACGACCCGUCUCGAGGGACAUAGGGGGACCUGGAACUUCCGGUGGAGCGGUGAAAUGCGUUGAGAUCGGAAGGAACGCCCGUGGCGAAAGCGAGGUCCUUGAUGUCUUCUGACGCCGAGACGCGAAAGCCAGGGGAGCGAACGGG
rnacentral:rRNA from 1 species